rnacentral:sRNA from 1 species
GCAAACAAGUUUAAAGACUAAAUAAAGUCAAUUUAAGUAAAUCACAAAUGGAAAAAUUAAUUGAGAUUGGCCAACUCAAGAAGAACAACGGCCACGUUAAGAGUUUUCACUCUACAGCUCAACUAUUUCAUGUGCUCCAGAAAUAGAUCACGAAAUGAAAGUUCUCGCUUUACGUUUCCGUUUUUCCGUCUUGUCUAAAGAGCUGUUGUUGCUGCUGUUGCUGGUGUGUGGCGCGGCAAGGCAAGGCAAAGGAAAAUUCCGGGCCAGUUAGAUGUAUGCAGUGUGUGUAUGCGAAGGGCACGCCUAGACAGGCACACAGCGCCACGUGCAAGUGCAGUCAGGAUUAGUAAAAAAAUAACUACAUUUUUCUUUUUACCUAACUUACACAGCUAUCUGGUAUGCAACAGCUUGUGGAAAAUGAAUUUAAUUGAAAUUGCAAUAAGCACAGUGCGCUUUGAU